UACGUAGGGGGCGAGCGUUGUCCGGAAUUAUUGGGCGUAAAGGGUUCGCAGGCGGUUUUUUUAAGUCAGGUGUGAAAGGCAUAGGCUCAACCUGUGUAAGCACUUGAAACUGGAGGACUUGAGUUAAGGAGAGGAAAGUGGAAUUCCUAGUGUAGCGGUGAAAUGCGUAGAUAUUAGGAGGAAUACCAGUGGCGAAGGCGACUUUCUGGACUUAUACUGACGCUGAGGAACGAAAGCGUGGGGAGCAAACAGGAUUAGAUACCCCGGUAGUCCCUGAGCGGGCUGGCAA
rnacentral:rRNA from 1 species